GUGUCAGCCGCCGCGGUAAUACGUAGGGGGCAAGCGUUGUUCGGAAUUACUGGGCGUAAAGGGCGCGUAGGCGGCAUGGCAAGUCAGGAGUGAAAGGCCUGGGCUCAACCGAGGAACUGCUUUUGAGACUGCCAAGCUAGAGUGCGGAAGGGGCAACUGGAAUUCCCAGUGUAGCGGUGAAAUGCGUAGAUAUUGGGAAGAACACCGGAGGCGAAGGCGGGUUGCUGGGCCGACACUGACGCUGAGGCGCGAAAGCCAGGGGAGCAAACGGGAUUAGAUACCCUUGUAGUCC
rnacentral:rRNA from 1 species